UCGCUGUGGUGUUAAUUUUAAGCCGUUG
rnacentral:sRNA from 1 species